CAAGAAUUUAAAACUGCACAACGGGUGUCGCGCUCUCGCUCUCAGCCAGCGCUUCGCAGAUCUGUCAGACCUAAGCCUCGAACCACUUCACGAGAGAAGCGCCCUGGAUUACAUCACCCUGGACCUCUACAGCACCUAAACUGUUCCUCGUUGCCUCAUGAAGGAACGGAAGAGUUAGGACCCAGUGAGAGGCUUGCUGAGGCGUCAGAAUAAGGCUGUAAAGGUGGAACUCUGUUUUCUAUAACAGAUUUUCAAGUAUCUGAAUGAGACAACAACCUUCUGGAGCUGUUUCCGUGUUGCUGUGGUUGGUGCCCUGAAAACAAUCUACUUCCAUGUUUCCAACUGAACUCCUUCCAGGCCAUCAGUGAAGAAUA